UUUCCAGAAAACAUCAUAGAUAUGGUCUGUUCUCUUGAGAGCCAUAUGGAGGGAGGUAUUUCUGACACCCCUACAUAUGCUCCCAGGACAGCAGAAAAUGUCAAAAAGACCAACGGGAAAAG
rnacentral:precursor_RNA from 14 species